rnacentral:rRNA from 1 species
GACGAACGCUGGCAGAGUGCCUAAUACAUGCAAGUAGAACUCAGUUGCGAACGGGUGAUUAACGCGUAGUUAACUGCCUCAUAGCGGGGGAUAGCUAUUGGCAACGAUAGCUAAUACCGCAUACUGUGAGAUGUACCUGCGUUGUAUUAGCUAGUUGGUGAGGUAAAGGCUCACAAAGGCGACGAUACAUAGCCGACCUGAGAGGGGUGUGGGCCAAGCUUGGACGGGGAAACGGCCCAGAGGCGUACGGGAGGCAGCAGUAGGGAAUACUCGGCAAUGGAGUGAAGUCUGACCGAGCAACGCCGAGGGAGUGAAGAAGGUUUUCGGAUGGGAAAGAUCUGUUGUUAGAGAAUCGGUAACUAAACAGAAAGGGACGGCUAAAUACGUGCCAGCAGCCGCGGUAAUUC